ACGACGACGUUGAUAGGCCGGGUGGGUAAGCGCAGCGAUGCGUUGAGCUAACCGGUACUAAGGAACCGUGAGGCUUAACCUUACAACGCCGAAGGUGUUU
rnacentral:rRNA from 1 species